AGAGCGCUCGCGUUGGGACCCGAAAGAUGGUGAACUAGGCCCGAGCGGGACGAAGCCGGGAGAAAUGCUGGUGGAGGUCCUAAGUGGUUCUGACGCGCAAAUCGAUCACGGAACUUGGGCGUAGGGGCGAAAGACUAAUCGAACCAUCUAGUAGCUGGUUCCCUCCGAAGUUUCCCCCAGGAUAGCUGGCGCUCGCCGAGACAGUUUCGUCCGGUAAAGCGAAUGAUUAGAGGAGUCCGUGCCGAAAUGGCGUGGAGCUAUUGUCAAACUUUGAACGGGCGAGAAGGGGUGCCUACCGCUCGAUCUGGGAGGCUCGGCCCCCGUCGAAAUGUACGAGUGCCAAGUGGGCCACUUUUGGUAAGCAGAACUGGCGCUGUGGGAUGAACCAAACGCCGGGUUAAGGCGCCCGAUCGUCACGCUCAGCAGAACCCACAAAAGGCGUCCAUCGGUAAAGACAGCAGGACGGUGACCAUGGAAGUCGGUAUCCGCCAAGGAGUGUGUAACAACUCACCUGCCGAAUUGGUGGGCCCUGAAAAUGGAUGGCGCUGUAGCGUGCAGCCUACACCCGGCCGUCUCGGCAAUUUUCUCCGGCCUGCCGGUAGAGACUGACCGAAGCCGAGACGAGUAGGAGGGUCGCCGCGGUCAGCGCUGAAGCCUUAGACGCGAGUCUGGGUGUAGCGGCCGCGGGUGCCGAUCUUGGUGGUAGUAGCANAUAUUCGAGCGAGAACCUCGAAGGCCGAAGUGGAGAAGGGUUCCGCGUUGCUCCUUCGAUCGGCCGCGGGUUAGU
rnacentral:ncRNA from 1 species